rnacentral:tRNA from 1 species
GUAGCAUAGUUAGUAAAGCACUCGUCCAGUAUACAAGAGUCGUGGGUUCGAAUCCCACC